rnacentral:tRNA from 1 species
GCCCCCGUAGCUCAACUGGAUAGAGCAGCCGCCUUCUAAGCGGCAGGUUGCGCGUUCGAGCCGCGCCGGGGGUA